AAUAGUUUUUUAAAUGGAAACUGGGAUGAAGGAAGUGAUGAAAUUUAUACUGUCUUAAAUUAAAUUGUUAAAUUUAGUAAUUAAGUAAAAAUACUUAAAUAGAAGUAUGGGACGAGAAGACCCCAUAGAAUUUUAUAUAAAUUUAUUAAGUAGGUUAAAAAUAAAUUAUUGAUAGGUUUAUAUUUUAUUGGGAGGAUAAUUAAAUUAAAGAAACUUUAGUAGUAAAAAUUCAUUGAUUUAUGAAUUAGAGAGUGACUUUUGAGUUUAAGUAGAAUUAAUUACCUUGGGGAUAACAGCGUAAUAUCUUUAGAGAGAUCUUAUUAAUAAAGAUGAUUGC
rnacentral:rRNA from 1 species